UGCUCAGUUGUGAAAUCCGGGAGAAGCCAGACCCACGUGACGCGUUCGUCCAAUCAGCUGCCGGUCGACGUCCCUGGUCCCUCCCCUUUCCACUUUGUAGUCCAGAUGGCAUCCGUUUAGUGCGAGUAGUGUCCAUCGUUCCACACUGAACUUUUUGACCGUUUUUAGGGGGUCAUCCUGGUACUUUCAGUGCUCUGACUUUUAGCGU